rnacentral:rRNA from 1 species
GACGAACGCUGGCGGCGCGCUUAACACAUGCAAGUCGAGCGAAGCGGCGGACGUGUGAGUAACACCUGAGUAACCUGCCUUAGACCUUUGAAUAGCCUCGGGAAACCGGGAUUAAUACCAAAUGGUCUAAGAUGGACUCGCGUCCCAUUAGCUAGUUGGUGGGUAACGGCGCACCAAGGCGACGAUGGGUAGCCGGACUGAGAGGGGGAACGGCAACAGUGGAACUGAGAAACGGUCCAAACUCUACGGGAGGCAGCAGUGGGGAAUAUUGCACAAUGGAGGGAACUCUGAUGCAGCGACGCCGGGUGAACGAAGAAGGCUUUCGAGUCGGAAAGUUCUGUUAUAUGGGAAGCGGUACCAUAAGAAAAAGCCCCGGCUAACUACGUGCCAGCAGCCGCGGUAAUUC